UCUUCACUGCAUAUAAGUUGUUCUUGAUCUUUUAUUGUUUGUUGUUGGUUCUUAAUUUAAUCCGGUAAAGAGUAAGUUGCACUUUGUUGGUCCAUUUGGGUUGUGGAUUUAUUUAUUAUGAUGGCGAGACACACCUAUGGUGAGAUUCUAUUUCGAUGAUGAUGUGCACUCUUCACACCUCGCUCUGAAUUGGCACGAGAAGAUUGUUCUAGAUUGGAAUCCAUAUAACUUUGAGAAGGCAUGCUGGUCACCGCCGUGUCUCCUGCUGGCUUGCCCCUCGCCCUCGUUGGGAGGGUUGUGUGGGCCAUCCUACAUUUUAAUCCACAUACCUUUGAAAAGUGAGAGCUCGGUGUCGUGUCCGCCGGCUGAGCGACAAGCUUGAGCUGCAGGUCGCUGAACAACGUGGUCCUACUGUGAGGAUCUCAUCUCUCACUCUAUGUGUGUAUCUCUCAGUCCCGUUCCCCUUUAUGGUAAUCAUUCAUGCCUGUAGGGAUCACUAAGAUUUUUCUUGGUUCUGUAAUUGUGGAUUGCUGUGAUUGUUACUUUAAUAGUGGAUCAUAUAUAUACACCUGGCAACUCAGUUUAGGAUAUCGCUUGGUAAAUGCUGAUUGUUAGUGCAAUAGUGGAUCAUAUAUAUACACCUGGCAACUCUGUUUAGGAUAUCGCUUGGUAAAUGUUGAUUGUUACUGCAAUAGUGGAUCAUAUAUAUACACCAUAUAUAUACUAAUUGUUGAUUGUUUCUUCCAUUUUGGCGGCAACCUUGCUGUUCCGUGCACUAUUGGUUGUUGUUUUUACCGUUCGAUUCAUGAAGGUAAAGCACACUAUGCAUUAUUCACUCUUAAUUGUUUUCUGUUCAUCCAUGGUUAUUCUUCAUGAGCGAGCUAUCUUAACUCCAACCAUUUAUGUGGCUGUCAAAGUCAAUAUUUUUUAUCCUGUCAAUGGUCCCUCAGCACAUACAAGAGUAUUUGAGCUGUGAUUCAAUGGCUAAUUCCGAUGAUGAUGUUAAAAGAAAGCACUGUGUUACAUCCACCUGAGUUCUGAAUGCUAUUUCUAUAAUCAAUUUUCUUGAACAUAAAGUAUUCUUAUCAUUAGAGAGCUUGCCGAUUGUACAUUCAAGCUAUUAUUAUGAUGUGUUCUCCUAUAGGAGAGGUUGUUUGCGUACCAAAUAUAAUUGAUGCUUUAGAAAACCAAAGGGCCUUUCACUUUGAAAAGACGACAAUUUCAUGUCCGACUAUGUUAUUCCACGACAAUAAAUAUGAACCAGGGCUAGACAUUGUCCUUUGUCGGAAUUUAUAUCUGAAAUAUCAUGUUCUAUCCAUGGACAGUUGUAUGUUGUAGUGUCGCGGGUCGUAUUGAAAAAAUCCCUAAAAUUACUUAUGAAAGAUAAAGAUGGAAAUGUAUGGAGACUCAGAACCUUUUUCCCCAAGGUUUAUGCCUCAACUAUAAUAAUUAGUAGUAGCAUGUGUUGUAUUGUUUUUAACAUUAAUAAUUAGUAGAAAUCCCUUUUAAAUUUAUCGACAUGCCCCUAUAAUAAUUAGUAGUACCCUGCAUUGUAUUUUCUCUCAUAGUAUAUCCUCGGAUACAUUGUUUUUCUUUUCUCUUUGGCUACUAAAUUUUAUUGCUAUUCUUCUGCACAUAUAUGUGAUGUGGUACAUUCUUUCUCUUCAUGUUUUAAGAAGUUACUUUAGGAUACUUUAGGUUUUAUUGUUAUUCUCUAUGAUCAUUAGAUUUCCGUUGUGCAUUGUUAUCCUCUGUCAUGAGAUAGUGUCUUGUAGCCUGUUUCCUUGAUGUUUAUUUGAAUAUGUUUUCUUUUAUCCACAGAUGAAGCCCAUCCAUUUGUCUGUUCUUCGUCAGGGUCACAAAGUCUUUGUGACAGGAUUCUUCCCUUUGUAAAUAUGGAAGCCGCUUGUACGGUCUAUUCACAGACUUGCUCAGCUGCUUUGUAGCCUAACUGAUUAUGUAUUCUUGAUCGUCCUCAUGCCAUCUGUCAACUCCAUUGUGAAUCAUCUUUUUAUCUUAAGGUUGUACUCGCUAUGCUAGAAUGAUAGAUGAUAUAGUAAAUACAUCUUUUAUUUUUACAAGGUUCAUAUUCCUGUUUCUUGUUCAGAAUGUGAUGCUCCUGUUCAGAUAAUCAGUAGUGCAUAUUUUGGCUGAUAUUUCUACUACAGAGCACUUGGUGGAUUUGUGACUAUUAUAGCCUUUUUCCGUGUAACUUAAGAAGUGUUAACAUAUUUUUAAAAUGUUACUGUAAUUUUGAAAUCUGUUCACAUGUUUCAAAAAUGUUCGCUCAAUUUAAGAAGUGUAUGCACAUCUAUAUCUCGCUCCUAUCAUAUUCUUCACUGCGUGUUAUCCUGUAUGAUUGCAUAUGUUAAACCUGCGUUAAUACUAACUUAGCAUUACCUGUUUGACGAAAAUGUUGGGACCGGCACCCUCGCGCCAAGGCCGACGAUGAGCUCCAGGUUCUUGGAUCUAUUCAGGUUGCGAUGGCUGACGAUGAGCUCCAGGUUCAUCGCUCGCCAGGCUCCUCUUUGGUCAUCGCUACGCAUCUCAGCUCCGGUAACCAGGUCAGACCUCACCUACGCACAUCACAUGGUUAUUGCUCCUUCUGAGCCCUGCAUAUGUGCUUGCAUCUCAGGAAUUUCUUGGAUCUAUUCAGGUAGCGGUUGUCGUGGUUCUAAGUCUGACA